ACCAAAGUACCGCAAUUGAAUGUUUCAAUGUGUUAGAGAGAGAACGUAUAUUUCGGACACAAUAUGGCGACCGACAAACGUCAAUGUUAAUUGUCAAACGCUCUUUAACGCAUCACCUCGUGGCGUAAGUCCUGUUUUGCAAAGUUGUUUGUGUUUUUUGUAAAGUUGUUUGUGUUUUUUGCAAAGUUGUUUGUGUUUUUUGUAAAGUUGUUUGUGUUUUUUUGUGGUGUUUUAUGACUUUUAUUUUAAAAUGACAAGUUGUUCUGUUCCUUUGUGUAAAAAUAAAAGCCGAUUGUUUCGUCUUCCAACAGGUGUUAGUAAUAGGUCUAGAAGAGAGAUGUGGAAGAAUUUAAUAGGCCGGGACGAUUUGAACGACAACUCCAGAAUUUGCGAAUUACAUUUUUCUGAACAACAAUUCGAAGCAAAGCGAGCAGAUGGAAGGAAACUAUUGCGGCCGAAAUUUUGUUAAUAAACUGGUAUUGCAAGGUU